UUUAAAAUGUAGAGGAAAAUAAAGAAAAUAAAAGUCCUCUGAAGGAGAGAAAUACAUUGCUCUGGCCAUUGAAGAAGUCAAUCCCUGCAUAUGACCAGAACAUACAGCUUUGGUGUAGCAGAGAAAGGGAAAAGAAAAGGAUUGCAGCUAUAAACUAAACAACUCUUUUUGAGGCACACUGCAGUUUUGGGUUUGUUUUGUAUUGUUUUUCACUUCCCCCCUCCUUUUUACAAAUUACAAAGCUUUUCAUCUUGCUAUUAGGAGGCAGAAUAUCUUACUGUGUUGUCUGAAAAUUCUUACUUGCAUAGAUUUGUAAGUAAAAAAGUCUGUUUUUUAAAGCAUGUGAUACUUUCCACUUCACUAAAGAGAUGAAAAGUCACAACUGCUGUGAUGUUUUAUUUAAAAAUAAAAAAUACCAAGCUAUCAGCACAAACCAAUUAAAUAAUACUUCUUGUCUCUAGAUUAGCCUACACACAGCUUUAUAUUUAUACUUUUAUUUGAUAAAGAAAUCAGCCUUUGCUCCAUAUAAUCAGAAUCAAUAUUCCUGAAAGAUUAUCUCUCCAUGGUUGCUGGAAGCACAGCAACAAAAUUUGUUAAAAAAAUCCAGCAAAUCAACAGUACCACACAUUAAACAUUUUUGAAACCUGUAACACAACACUCAGAUGUCUGUAGAUUCUAACAGUCCAUAAAAUAUCAAAUAUGUGAGUAUGACCACUCCUAAAGACUGAAAUGUGGGGCGUGGUGGUGACCACUUCAGCUAUUGUUAGGUCCUUUUACUGAUGCUGAACCCUUCAUGCUCACAAGAAUCCUUUCUGAACAGGGGAAUUUACUAAUAGAACAUCAGUGUCCAGGGCCUGUAUAAUUUUGUAAGAAUGGUCUGAGCUAAAUAGGAGUAGCAAGCUGUUCAAUAGGACUCAGUUCUGUAGAAGGCAUUUACAGUGGGCCCUAUUUUCAGCAGGAAUUGGGCCUGGUGGCCUUUUAAGGUUAAUUUUGAAAUUAUUUGUUCUAUAAUUCUGUAUUGGCAUGCAAAUUUUUUUUGGAAAACAACAACAUCUUGCCAUUAGCACUCAAAAAGAACCACCACAAUGCCAUUGUACAAAGACAUUGAAAUCUUUGGUGUAUUUUUCUGAGUUAACCUUCGUAGACAGGAAAAAAUAUUCAAGGUAUACAAGAAUAGCAAUUUAAUCUUGCAGCAGGUUAAAAACCAGGUAGAGCAUAUCCUUAAUAUGUUAUCACACGUGUACAUUAGUAUCAUGGACUUAAAAGUGUAACAUGACCAGGGACACUUUACAUAUUAAUCCAAAAGCCAGUUCACAAGUGUAAAAACAGAAAACUGAGCUGAGUAAAGGUCUGGCAAAGCUACACUCAAUGGUGCUCAAAAUAACUUCCACUGGAAAUGCUAUUGUCCCUCAGUGAAACUAAAAGCCAAUAUUGGACUUGAAACAGUCCUGACUGGGUGGGAGUCUGAAAGACAAAGCCAAGAACCAGAGAGCACAGAGUGGUAAUGAGGAACUCAUGGCUGGUUUUCCAGACAAAUGGAGGGUUUUUUUCUGGUUUUAAGUUGUACAGUAUUUUUAAUAUACAGUUAUUUGUGGUUUCUCUUAUUGAACUGUGCCAACAUGACAUCAUGGAAGGACUAAUUCAGUGUCUCCCACAACCCAGAUCUAAUAGAGAACUUCAUCACCCACAAAUUUUGAGAUGCUCAUCAUUAUAAAACUCUCUUUAUUUCUCUGGAAGCCAAACAGAAAGUCAGAGUUUUUCCCAUGUGGAGCAAUUUCUGGACUGAUAGUUCUGCUGGAAUCCAUAGCCCUUUCUGCACAGCAGUUAAUGAACUGAGAUCCAAGAGAAGCAUGAGUUUAUAUUCUAAACGAUGGCUCUGAUUAGCAUGCAAGAACAUUUAAAUGGAAAAUACUGAUGAAAGCAUACAUAUUUUCCACUGAAAGCUUCUUUAUUUUAUAUUCAUGCUUCAGAGAACACAACUCUCACUAUGGAACAUUUGCAUAAUGUGAAUGCUGGAUCAUUUCUAUCACAUCAGGAGAAGCUGAUGUGAGUCUGUCCACCCUCUACACCUGGGAGUGAUCUCCUGGAGCCCUCACUGGAUCUGUACACUGUGCAUUUCAUUUUCUAUAGUUCACUUUAGUUUGUAGUAUUUGUUAAUCCUGUAGGCUUCAAGACAGCUUGGUUUUGCUGGGGUUUGGAUCCAGCCAGAACUUACUGAUACACAUAGGUUUUGUGGGGACUUGUACUGAUCUUAGUGAGAGAAGCACAAGCUGCAGAAGGGUUUGGAGACAGCAUGAAGACAUUCAUCUGUGAGCAUAUGAAAAUUUAUAUUCUACCUGCACUUUGAUCUCUUAAUGAAAAAAAAUCCUGCAUGUUUAGAAGUGGGGUGUUCACAAUGGCUAAUUUAGCCUUUUUUUUGGUCUGAAACUCCCUGUGCUUGGUAGCAAGAGAGGCUCCAGCAGAAGGUAUUUCAAAUCAGGAGGUAUUGCAGAAGGAAGUUAACCCCUGAGGCCAGGAGUGGCCUUUAUAAAUACACUUCACUAAAACAUUCAUAUUUUUAUUCAAACAUGUGGGAUACAAACCUGAAUUCAUCUGCCUUAGGAGCUGAUUAGACACCUUGUAAAAGCCAGAAUUAUGUACCCAAUUAAAGUAUUUGUUUCUAAGAGAUGGUGUAUCAUAACCUCUUGGGAAAAUCCAAGAGUCUGCCAUGUACUGCAUAAUUAAGGAAACACAAAAAUUAUCAAAUGAAAAGUCAGACUAAAAGAAUGUCAUAAUUUUUGAAUACUGUUAUUUUUUAAAUUAAAAUAAGAGUUAGGACUUUUUAUUUCUCAGAAAUAAUUUUUAAUUCAAAAGAAGUCAGUUUUGGGGUCUAAAUAUAUGUCAUCUUGGUAACUAUGCAUCUUCACUUCUGUUUUAAUUGUAGUUUUAGCUGAGAAAAUCUGGGAAGCUGAAACAUUUUCUCUAGCACAGAUAUAGCUGAAUCCAGGAAUGGCCCAGCACUUGUCACUUUUCCAGUCUCCAGGCAAUUUGGAGCUUUCUCAUUUGUGAUUUACACAUAACAUGAGCAAUUAUAUCCCUCUGUUUUAAGGAAUUUCCAGGGACCCUACAUCCCUGCAUUUCACUGAGGUUAGCGUACAAUGACCACUAACAUCUCUGUCACUCAGGCCAUCCCUUUCCUGGGAAAGAAGAUCUCUGAACUUCUGGUCCUUGUUCCCAACAGUGUGGGGGACUUUGCAGUUUAACCUUUUCUCAGCUCACUGCAGCUUGUGGAGGGAGAACUUGUGGACAGCUGUGGGCUCGGGAGCCAGGAGUUCUUGUUCCAUCCUGGCUGUCACCCUGUGCAGAAGCAGCAGCAGCAAACUACCAAGAAAUAGAAAAGAUAAAGCCUUUUGCCCAUGUUGUGCUGUGUGCUGCUGUACCUGUGCCUCUGGGAUUAUAUUAACUAGGAAUCUUGAAGAAAACCACAAGAGCAGCAGUGUAGAUGUCCCUCAGCAGCAUGAAGGAGAGGUUUAUGUCAUUCCCUCAGGACUGGGAAAAGCACCUGCUCACAACGUUGUCUAAGGACUGGCAUUCAGCUGGCCUGCUUCAGGAGGUGCCCCUGUUUUACUGAAUUAACAGUUGAGAUAGAAGGAGUUUUAUUUCUUUUUUUAUUCCCCAGAUGCACCCUGAUUCAGUGCUAUCUUAAUAAAUAUCUU